rnacentral:rRNA from 1 species
AGAGUUUGAUCAUGGCUCAGAUUGAACGCUGGCGGCAGGCUUAACACAUGCAAGUCGAACGGUAACAGGAAGGAAGCUUGCUUUCUUUGCUGACGAGUGGCGGACGGGUGAGUAAUGCUUGGGAAUCUGGCUUAUGGAGGGGGAUAACUACGGGAAACUGUAGCUAAUACCGCGUAAUAUCUUCGGAUUAAAGGGUGGGACCGUAAGGCCACCUGCCAUAAGAUGAGCCCAAGUGGGAUUAGGUAGUUGGUGGGGUAAAGGCCUACCAAGCCGACGAUCUCUAGCUGGUCUGAGAGGAUGACCAGCCACACUGGAACUGAGACACGGUCCAGACUCCUACGGGAGGCAGCAGUGGGGAAUAUUGCACAAUGGGGGGAACCCUGAUGCAGCCAUGCCGCGUGAAUGAAGAAGGCCUUCGGGUUGUAAAGUUCUUUCGGUGAUGAGGAAGGCGGUUGUUUUAAUAGAACAAUCGAUUGACGUUAGUCACAGAAGAAGCACCGGCUAACUCCGUGCCAGCAGCCGCGGUAAUACGGAGGGUGCGAGCGUUAAUCGGAAUGACUGGGCGUAAAGGGCACGCAGGCGGUGACUUAAGUGAGAUGUGAAAGCCCCGGGCUUAACCUGGGAAUUGCAUUUCAUACUGGGUCGCUAGAGUAUUUUAGGGAGGGGUAGAAUUCCACGUGUAGCGGUGAAAUGCGUAGAGAUGUGGAGGAAUACCGAAGGCGAAGGCAGCCCCUUGGGAAUAUACUGACGCUCAUGUGCGAAAGCGUGGGGAGCAAACAGGAUUAGAUACCCUGGUAGUCCACGCUGUAAACGCUGUCGAUUUGGGGAUUGGGCUUUAAGCUUGGU